rnacentral:misc_RNA from 1 species
GAUGAAGAACGCAGCAAAAUGCGAUAAGUAAUGUGAAUUGCAGAAUUCAGUGAAUCAUCGAAUCUUUGAACGCACAUUGCGCCCGCCAGUAUUCUGGCGGGCAUGCCUGUUCGAGCGUCAUUUCAACCCUCAAGCACAGCUUGGUGUUGGGACUCGCGUUAAUUCGCGUUCCCCAAAUUGAUUGGCGGUCACGUCGAGCUUCCAUAGCGUAGUAGUAAAACCCUCGUUACUGGUAAUCGUCGCGGCCACGCCGUUAAACCCCAACUUCUGAAUGUUGACCUCGGAUCAGGUAGGAAUACCCGCUGAACUUCAGCAUAUCAAUAAGCGGAGGA